CCUACGGGAGGCAGCAGUGGGGAAUAUUGGACAAUGGGCGCAAGCCUGAUCCAGCCAUGCCGCGUGAGUGAUGAAGGUCUUAGGAUUGUAAAGCUCUUUCACCGAUGAAGAUAAUGACGGUAGUCGGAGAAGAAGCCCCUGCUAACUUUGUGCCAGCAGCCGCGGUAAU
rnacentral:rRNA from 1 species